UACGUAGGGGGCAAGCGUUGUUCGGAAUGACUGGGCGUAAAGGGUGCGUAGGCGGUAGUACAAGUUAGAAGUGAAAUACCCAGGGCUUAACUCGGGUGCUGCAUCUAAAACUGUUAGACUUGAGUACUGGAGAGGAUAGUGGAAUUCCUAGUGUAGCGGUGGAAUGCGUAGAUAUUAGGAGGAACAUCAGUGGCGAAGGCGACUAUCUGGACAGCAACUGACACUGAGGCACGAAAGCGUGGGGAGCAAACAGG
rnacentral:rRNA from 1 species